rnacentral:rRNA from 1 species
UAGGGAAUCUUCCACAAUGGGCGCAAGCCUGAUGGAGCAACACCGCGUGAGUGAAGAAGGGUUUCGGCUCGUAAAGCUCUGUUGUUAAAGAAGAACACGUAUGAGAGUAACUGUUCAUACGUUGACGGUAUUAACCAGAAGUCACGGCUAACUACGUGCCAC